rnacentral:lncRNA from 1 species
ACAAAUUCGCAUGCUGCCCGCGGAAAACUACUGCACGCGUCUUUUCCGAAGACAAGCAUGCACAUUUGUGUACAUGGCGCCUCAAAGUGUGCAUUGUAACCAAUCAGAACUUUGUUGAUUUUUACCAGUGUGCGGUGUGUUGUAGCAUUCUAAUACAUUGAUAUUGUGCUUUAUAGGCCUUGAUGAACAUUCCAGUCAUCGUCUGAGAAGCUCUACUGCGUCAGCCCAGGCACUGCUCACCAGGAUAGCUGAUGGCAAUGUCUCAGACGGAGAUUUUUCUGAUGAGGUUGACGACACGCUAGAGAUUCUACCUGCAUCGAAUAGGAAAUGGAACAGCUGAGGAUUUUCCCGCUAGCAGUAGUGAGGAUGAAGAGGAAGCCCAACCUCAACCAGCA